UACGAGGGUGCAAGCGUUACUCGGAAUUACUGGGCGUAAAGCGUGCGUAGGUGGUUUGUUAAGUCUGCUGUGAAAGCCCCGGGCUCAACCUGGGAACUGCGUUUGGUACUGGCAAGCUAGAGUACGGCAGAGGGGGGUGGAAUUCCACGUGUAGCAGUGAAAUGCGUAGAGAUGUGGAGGAAUACCGAUGGCGAAGGCAGCCCCCUGGGCUAACACUGACGCUCAUGCACGAAAGCGUGGGGAGCAAACAGG
rnacentral:rRNA from 1 species